rnacentral:tRNA from 1 species
GGGGCUGUGGCUCAGUGGAAGAGUCUUUACUUUGCAUGCAAAAGGACUCAGGUUCAAUCCCUGGCAUCUCCA